rnacentral:tRNA from 1 species
UACCCGGUGGUGUAAUCGGUAACACAGCAGGUUUUGAUCCUGCCAUUCCAGGUUCAAGUCCUGGCCGGGUAA